UCCGCCGUAGUGUAAUUGGCAGCACGGGAGCUUUUGGUGCUCUUCGGUCCGGGUUCGAGUCCUGGCGGCGGAGC
rnacentral:tRNA from 1 species